ensembl:rRNA 5S_rRNA 5S ribosomal RNA
GUCUGCAGCCAUACUACCUUGACUGUUUGCAGUUUGGUCUGAUCUUGGAAGCUAAGUAGGGUCAAUCCUGGUUACUAGUUGGAUGGGAGACUGAGGUCACAGGGCAAACCAUGGCCCCCAAAGU